CGAAGGGGCUCAAAAUCAACGGCU
rnacentral:miRNA from 1 species